UACGUAGGGUGCGAGCGUUAAUCGGAAUUACUGGGCGUAAAGUGUGCGCAGGCGGCCGCGCAAGUCGAGUGUGAAAUCCCCGAGCUUAACUUGGGAAUUGCGCUCGAAACUACGUGGCUGGAGUGUGGCAGAGUAAGGUGGAAUUCCACGUGUAGCGGUGAAAUGCGUAGAGAUGUGGAGGAACACCGAUGGGAAGGCAGCCCCCUGGGCUAACACUGACGCUCAGGCACGAAAGCGUGGGGAGCAAACAGG
rnacentral:rRNA from 1 species